rnacentral:rRNA from 1 species
ACGCGCCGCUGGCGGCAGGCUUAAACAUGCAAGUCGAACGGGCUUCUUCGGAAGUAGUGGCAGACGGGUGAGUAACACGUGGGAACGUGCCCUUCGGUUCGGAAUAACUCAGGGAAACUUGAGCUAAUACCGGAUACGCCCUUAUGGGGAAAGGUUUACUGCCGAAGGAUCGGCCCGCGUCUGAUUAGCUUGUUGGUGGGGUAACGGCCUACCAAGGCGACGAUCAGUAGCUGGUCUGAGAGGAUGAUCAGCCACACUGGGACUGAGACACGGCCCAGACUCCUACGGGAGGCAGCAGUGGGGAAUAUUGGACAAUGGGCGCAAGCCUGAUCCAGCCAUGCCGCGUGAGUGAUGAAGGCCUUAGGGUUGUAAAGCUCUUUUGUCCGGGACGAUAAUGACGGUACCGGAAGAAUAAGCCCCGGCUAACUUCGUGCCAGCAGCCGCGGUAAUA